rnacentral:rRNA from 1 species
CACUCCUACGGGAGGCAGCAGUGGGGAAUUUUGGACAAUGGGCGAAAGCCUGAUCCAGCAAUGCCGCGUGAGUGAAGAAGGCCUUCGGGUUGUAAAGCUCUUUUGUCAGGGAAGAAACGGUGAAAGCUAAUAUCUUUUGCUAAUGACGGUACCUGAAGAAUAAGCACCGGCUAACUACGUGCCAGCAGCCGCGGUAAUACGUAGGGUGCAAGCGUUAAUCGGAAUUACUGGGCGUAAAGCGUGCGCAGGCGGUUUUGUAAGUCUGAUGUGAAAUCCCCGGGCUCAACCUGGGAAUUGCAUUGGAGACUGCAAGGCUAGAAUCUGGCAGAGGGGGGUAGAAUUCCACGUGUAGCAGUGAAAUGCGUAGAUAUGUGGAGGAACACCGAUGGCGAAGGCAGCCCCCUGGGUCAAGAUUGACGCUCAUGCACGAAAGCGUGGGGAGCAAACAGGAUUAGAAACCCGUGUAUCCCAUG